GCCACUGUCCCGAGGAUGGGACACGACGCUACGAACGUCGCUGGCGAAGGUUCGAGUCCUUCCGGUGGUACCA
rnacentral:tRNA from 1 species